ACAAUACGGCAGCUAAUAAUGCAGUCGACGAUCCGCUUCGGCGGAUAGUGGCGCACGGGUGCGUAACGCGUAUGCAACCUACCUUUUACUGGGGGAUAACUUCUCGAAAGAGAAGCUAAUACCGCAUAAAAUCGCAGAGACACAUGUCUUCACGAUUAAAGAUUUAUUGGUAAGAGAUGGGCAUGCGUCCAAUUAGCUAGUUGGUAGUGUAACGGACUACCAAGGCUACGAUUGGUAGGGGGUCUGAGAGGAUGGUCCCCCACACUGGUACUGAGAUACGGACCAGACUCCUACGGGAGGCAGCAGUAGGGAAUAUUGGGCAAUGGACGGAAGUCUGACCCAGCCAUGCCGCGUGCAGGAUGAAGGCCCUCUGGGUUGUAAACUGCUUUUGACAGGGAAGAAAUACACCAUGCGUGGUGAGCUGACGGUACCUGUAGAAUAAGCACCGGCUAACUCCGUGCCAGCAGCCGCGGUAAUACGGAGGGUGCAAGCGUUGUCCGGAUUUAUUGGGUUUAAAGGGUGCGUAGGCGGUCUUGUAAGUCAGUGGUGAAAGCUAGCAGCUUAACUGUUAAACUGCCAUUGAUACUGCAAGGCUUGAGUUCAGAUGAGGUAGGCGGAAUUUAUAGUGUAGCGGUGAAAUGCUUAGAUACUAUAAAGAACUCCGAUAGCGUAGGCAGCUUACUAAACUGAUACUGACGCUGAGGCACGAAAGUGUGGGGAUCAAACAGGAUUAGAUACCCUGGUAGUCCACACUGUAAACGAUGAUUACUCGUUGUUGGCGAUAUUACAGCCAGCGACUUAGGGAAACCGUUAAGUAAUCCACCUGGGGAGUACGUUCGCAAGGAUGAAACUCAAAGGAAUUGACGG
rnacentral:rRNA from 1 species